UGGCAAACUGGCCAACACCAGGUGAAUUGGU
rnacentral:piRNA from 1 species